rnacentral:tmRNA from 1 species
GGGGGUGACAGGUUUCGACUCCGUAUGUUGAGUCAGGGGAAGCGAGCCGAGGAAGCCGGCAACGUCUCGUUAAUCGAUGUCGGAAAAUGAAUAAGCGCCAAGCCUAUUCAGUCUGAUCUCGCUCUCGCCGCCUGAGGCGGGUAGCGGAUCCGUCGGUCUGAGAUUGCCUUCGUCCCAGUAACCGGCGUCGUUUAGGAGGCUGGCCAACCGGACCCCGUCGGGGGGUCCGUGCGGCGAGACUAAUCCCGACUGGGCCCGUCACACCGACUCGCUCGCGUGAUCGGAGGGGCCGAGUAGAGGCACAGUGAGCUGCGCUCGGAGAAGCCCUGGCAAAGCGACGGAGGACCCGGGUUCGAUUCCCGGCACCUCCACAG